AGGCAUCCGUUAAUUCUAGAAACCGAUCGGGUGGUGUUUUUGAAACGUGAAAGAACUCAGAACAGACAGACGCGGAGGCAAAACGGGUCAAAUUGAUACGAUCAAUUCAUAGAUACGGCAGACGCGACCUUGUCGAGGCGCGAUAAAUAAGUAACGCGGGAAUUCAAUUGUCCGAUAUACGCGCCGAGCCAGCAAAAAGAUAAGCGCUUAUUAAGAAUGGGUUCGGGAAAUUCCUUUCACUUUCGUCGAGGCGGUGCACGUAUUAGUAAGCGCCUUGUGCUCGAUGCUUACCGUGCGGCACGUUUGGUGAUUUUUUUUUGUUACUCGCGCACAUUUCGACAUGGGUUGCGGGUCAUCGAAAAUAAAGGAUGUCGAUGAACGGGGUAAGGCGAUUCACGCCGGGACCGACGACGACGACGACGACUUCGUCGAAGAUGUCCUAUGUAAGGUGGACGAUCUCAAGGAGAACGAAAUGAAAACGUUCGCGCUCGAUGAACAAAAGGUCCUCGUCGUGAAGCAAAACGGAAAAAUCAGCGCGUUGGGCACCAAGUGUACGCACUACGGGGCGCCCCUCGUCAGCGGCGCACUAGGUGAGGGGCGAGUCCGGUGCCAGUGGCACGGUGCGUGUUUCGCAUUCGCCACCGGCGAUAUCGAGGACUUUCCCGGCCUCGACUCGCUGCCGUGCUACAAGGUCACGAUAGAGGACGGCAACGUGAGGGUGAGGGCAAGAAGGACCGAACUGGAGACGAACAAGCGCGUGAAGCCGAUGGUCAGACGCGACCCGAACAACGAACAGAGUUACGUCGUGGUGGGCGGAGGACCGUCGGGGGCCACAUGCGUCGAGACGCUGAGGCAAGAAGGUUUCGACGGCGAGAUCACGCUCGUGUGCCGCGAAAACUACCUGCCGUAUGAUAGGGUAAAGGUGAGCAAAACGAUGGACUUCGACAUCACCAAGGCCGAGUUCCGCGACGACAAGUUUUACGCGGACAACGGCAUCACCGUACUGAAGGGCGUAUCGGCGACCGCCGUCGAUACAGCGGACAAAUUCGUCGCCCUGGAUAAUGGCGAUCGCGUAAAGUACGACAAACUUUUCGUCGCGACCGGCUGCAAACCGUGGAAGCUGGACGUGCCAGGCUCCGAUCUCCGUAACGUGGUCGUCCUCAGGGACUACGAGGACUCACAGUACACCAUCAAACAGCUCGCCGAAGACAAAGAAGUGGUGGUGGUCGGCGCGAGUUUUAUCGGUAUGGAGGCGGCCAACUAUUGCGUCGACAAGGUAAAAAAGGUGACCGUGAUCCUCAGGGACACGGUGCCUUUCCGCAGCAUGUGGGGAGAACGGAUAGGCGCGGCCGUGGAGCGCGUGUUUCGCGACAAGGGGGUGCACUUCGUAAACCGAAACGGUAAGAGGCGCGACGACGCGCGUCCCGCGCCGUCUCUCGACGUGCCGCGGUUUUCAGGUAUCGAACGCGUCAACGACGAUGGAAACGGAGCGGUGUCCGAGGUGGUCCUGCGGGACGGCCAGGUGCUAAAAGCGGACCUGCUGGUCAUGGGCGUCGGCAGCACUUACUACACCGACUUCCUGCGGGGCUCGGGGAUCGGCAUGCAGUCGGACGGAUCGGUGGAGACCGACGAGUACCUCGAGACCAACGUCUACGGGGUGUAUGCGGGCGGGGACAUAGCCUACGCCCCCGUAUGGUCGCACGGUAACGCCAAAGUCGCGAUCGGCCAUUACCCGUUAGCACAGUACCACGGUAGGGUAGCCGCACUAAACAUGCUCGGUCGUAAAGUGCCACUCCGGGCGGUGCCGUACUUUUGGACGAUGCUCUUCGGCAAAGGGUUCCGGUACGCCGGACACGGCAAAUACGACGACAUCGUCUACGCGGGCGACGUGGACAAGCUAAAGUUUGUCGCUUUCUUCCUCGAGAAGGACGAGGUGGUCGGCGCGGUGUCUUGCGGGAUGGACCCGGUCGUGUCGCAGUUCGCCGAGAGGUUGUCGCAGGACCGGAAACUCCUCCGGCAGCACCUCGAAGCAGAUCCGUUGGCAUGGACGAAAUCGUAGCCCUUCGUCACUUUCUAAUUUCAUCGUUGACUUUUGUUAAUUUAUUGCUUCGCAGUAUUAAACGUAUUUACAAAGUUAACGUUUGCAUCAUCUCACCCCACUCGGGAAGUUACAAUGUCGGUAACACCGAAGACGCAAUAGAAGUCCCAAAAUUGUACACUGGCGGGCAAAAAAAUUUAGCUUUCCUGCAAAUGCGUUAAAGCCUGUUCCUAGAUCUAAGAAAGUGACUAACUGAUACGAACAAGCUGUUAGAAUGAAAUAUGGCCGAACAGGUCCGUACUUGCUUAAAAUUAAAUUAUUUGGACUUUUGUUAGGAAAGAUACUAAACAAUGUUUAUUUAUGUUUAAAUCUAAAAUAAAAUUACAAAUUAUUUUUAUUACCUACUUAAAUUACUUAAAAUUAUUCGCAUAAUAUAUCAGUAUCACUAUCGCUAUCAUCGCCUGUUCUAAUUAUUAUUUGUUCGCAUAAUUCGCACACGAUUCAACACACGAGAUAAGAAUGAUUCCUAAUAACCUUAAACUAAGUAGUAUGCCAAAGCAAAGAAUAUUAAACACAGGUAGGUAUAAAAUUAUUUUCUAUUACGGACCCCAUUUUUCAACCAUUGGAUAAUCCCAUUCAAAAGCGAUUGGCCACUUUCUUAUAUCUAUGAACAGACCAUAUCUGUCAGUUGUUGUCAGCGUAGUUUCCAAAUAAAACGGAAGUUCGGCCUAAUUAAAAAUUCGAGCUUUAGAUACUUUAGAUACUUCGGUGUAUUUUAGAUCAUUGUAGGGUAAUACAAGAUGGUCGACGAAAACGGGAAACUGCGAGAAUUAGUAGGAGGCUAGUAAAAAAUGUAUAACAUCGCUACGAGGACACUGGAUUGAUCGCUAGAAGACGACGAUCCGAUCAAACAAGGAUUACCAACCAAAGAGACGAUCGAUUUUGGUGUCCGUAAGUUUGCGGAAUAGGACAGCUUCUGCUGUUUGGAAUCGAAAUCAACUUCACGAGAUUAGAGGACGGACUGUUAGAAGAAGUCUUUGUGCUAAUGGAUUUUCUUGUUGAAGGAUGGCUACAGGGCGCCCAUUGCACAGACGGCAUCCAAUAGCAAGAUUAGCUUUUGCCAGAAAUCACUUAGACUGG